rnacentral:tRNA from 1 species
GGAGGGAUGGCCGAGCGGCUGAAGGCGGCGGUCUUGAAAAUCGCUUCACGAGUGAUCGUGACGGGGGUUCGAAUCCCUCUCCCUCCG